rnacentral:tRNA from 1 species
AAAGUAGUGAAGUAAAAUUUACAUUUAGUUUCGACCUAAAAUUAGGGAUAUACCCCUUACUUAA